rnacentral:rRNA from 1 species
GAUGAACGCUGGCGGCGUGCCUAAUACAUGCAAGUCGAGCGAACGGACGAGAAGCGUGCUUCUCUGAUGUUAGCGGCGGACGGGUGAGUAACACGUGGAUAACCUACCUAUAAGACUGGGAUAACUUCGGGAAACCGGAGCUAAUACCGGAUAAUAUUUUGAACCGCAUGGUUCAAAAGUGAAAGACGGUCUUGCUGUCACUUAUAGAUGGAUCCGCGCUGCAUUAGCUAGUUGGUAAGGUAACGGCUUACCAAGGCAACGAUGCAUAGCCGACCUGAGAGGGUGAUCAGCCACACUGGAACUGAGACACGGUCCAGACUCCUACGGGAGGCAGCAGUAGGGAAUCUUCCGCAAUGGGCGAAAGCCUGACGGAGCAACGCCGCGUGAGUGAUGAAGGUCUUCGGAUCGUAAAACUCUGUUAUUAGGGAAGAACAUAUGUGUAAGUAACUGUGCACAUCUUGACGGUACCUAAUCAGAAAGCCACGGCUAACUACGUG